AAAGUACGCAAAUUCAUUGAAGGAUUAAAAUUAGAACUUCGUUGGGCUAUAAUUUCUUCGGAUGCAACAAAUUAUAGCGCGACGAUUAAUAAGGCGAUGCAGAUCGAGUCGGAAAUGCGAGAGUUGACCCACUUUGAAGAGCGAGCGAAGAGAACUAAAUUUACAAACUUGAGAGGAAAUUCAAAUCGAAAUCCCUUUUCGGAUCCGAAAUAUCCAAGAAUGGAUCAAGAGCGUUUUACAAAUCGUAAUCUAGUGUCAAAUCAUCAGAGCGGCGCUCCCCCCCAUCCAGUGAUGCAGAGGAAGUGUGGAUUUUGCGGACUCUCCAAUCAUGAAGAAAAUGAUUGUCGAAGGAAGAAAGGAUUGUGUGUUCUUUGUGGAAGUGCUGAUCAUAUCGCACGUGAUUGUCGUAGGAGACAAGAAUCUCUUCAUAUUCCACAAGGACAAAAAGGAAAGGCUCCAAUGGAGCAGCGAAGCAAGGCCAAAAUUCCUGCCCGCGCUUAUGCACUUGCUGGGGUGGACGAAACUGCCGAGCCAACCGCUGUCGUAGAAGGUAAUGUUUGUCUACUUGGUAAAUGCGGUAAACCUCAUUUAGUCCCGGAACAACUCAUUUGUUUAUCGUAUCGUCUUUCGCAAAUGAGUUAGUUUUAGAAGGCUAAUCAUUACCUUAUAAUUUCGAGGUAAGCACUGCAAUAGGCUCCAACAUACUUACUAAUAUAGUAUGUGUAGAGCUUGUGCCAUCGAGUUAGAGAGUAAAGAAGACUGUGCAAAUCUUCUAAUCAUAGGUUAUGAUCUUAUUUUGGGGAUGGAUUGGUUGCAUAAGCACCAUGCCCAAUUAGAUUGCAUAAGAAAAAAAACGUGGGAACAACUUCCAUUUAGUUAUAUUGCACAUCCUCAAACGAAUGGGCAAUCAAAGGGAGUGAUUGGAUUUUUGGAGGACAUGUUUGAGAGCAUGUGCCAUGGAUUAUAGAGAAAGUUACGUAAAUCGAAUUCGCGUACUACAAGUGGGCACCAUAUGAGGCGCUAUAUGGUAAGUCGAUCUCUAUUGCAUUGGGAACUUGAUAGAUGGAGAGUAACCAAAGACGGUCAAGAAAGAGCGCUAAGGUCGGAACUAAUACAAGAUGCUAUUGAUAAAGUGCAUAUCAUCAAGCGACGGAUGAAAGCCUCACAAGAUCGGCAAUAGAGCAAUGGGCGUAGAAAGAACAUCAAGUUUGAAGUUGGCAAUAUGGUGUUUCUCAAAGUGUCGCCAAGAAAAGGAUUCAAACGUAUUGGAAAAGGAGGGAAGCUUAGUCCACGUUAUUAUAUAGGACCUUUUGAAAUUUGUGAACGUAUAGGUCGUGUAGCCUAUUGGUUAAUCUCAUUACCCUUAACUUUUUCACACAGGUAAUAUUAACGAUGUGUAAAUCUGGGGACCAGAUUUCUUUAACAGGGGGAGAGUGUAACACCCCUUAAUUUUUAUUAUGUUCUAUAAUAAUAGUUUAUACAUUUAUAUUAUUGAAGUUUAUUCAUUAAUGAUGGUAAUAUAGUAAUAUGGUGAAUUUAUAUGGUUUAGAUGUUAUUGAUAAAAAUAGUUGGGGAAAAAGAGUAAAUAAGGUAAUUUACAAGGGCUGAUAUAGUAUUAAGGAAUAGUUAAGGCAGAUAAUGAUUCUAUAUAUUUAGACUUAGGCAGCAAGGAUCUGACGUUUAAGAGGAUAAUUAUAAGAUUAAGUAAAAUUUAAGGAGAAGACACGUAUUAUAAUCGACGAGUCAUCUUCCCCUUCAUCUUCAUCCGAUCAUCAAUCUUCUUUAAAAACCCCCCUUCUGCAUAUAAAUUCCACACCAUCUUCCACUUAAUCUCAGCAAGAAAAACCUCCCCAUAAUCCCAAGAAAUAUCUUCUAUCACAAACCAUAGAGAGAAGUCAAGAAAAUACGAGGCAGCCAGGGUUUAAUCGACGGAGACAAAGAUGGUGACUUGACGAUCUUUCCGGCGGAGUUUUGGCGAGCGGGGUAUAGGGCUCGAAAGCCCUCUGUAUAAGCUUCGAUUUGGUGGAAAUUUCCGGCUUGUUUCUCCGGUGGUGAUAGUUGUGAUCCGACGGCGAAGUUCAGCUGAUCCUAAAACCUUUCGGAUUUAAUUAGAGGUUUUGAGAUCGAGGAACCGUGAUCGACGAGUACUCUUGAUUGGACCAAGACACAGGUGCGGCUUGAAUGCAUCAGAGGAAUUCCCGUUCGAGUAACUACCUUGUUUAUAUUUGUAAAAUAGUGGUUCGAUUAAGUUAAGAAUAAUCGUUGUCUUGUAUUAUAAAUAUCAGCGUUUGAAUUUAUUUAUGUUAUAGUAUUGUAAUCUCAUAAGCUAGAAACUGCUGUUGUAAAUGUCCGGAACCUUUGUACUUUACCUUGCUAGACAUGAGGUUGUUAAUAAAUAAAUCGUACGUAUUUUUGUGAA